rnacentral:rRNA from 1 species
AUUGAACGCUGGCGGCAGGCCUAACACAUGCAAGUCGAGCGGAUGAAGGGAGCUUGCUCCUGGAUUCAGCGGCGGACGGGUGAGUAAUGCCUAGGAAUCUGCCUGGUAGUGGGGGAUAACGUCCGGAAACGGGCGCUAAUACCGCAUACGUCCUGAGGGAGAAAGUGGGGGAUCUUCGGACCUCACGCUAUCAGAUGAGCCUAGGUCGGAUUAGCUAGUUGGUGGGGUAAAGGCCUACCAAGGCGACGAUCCGUAACUGGUCUGAGAGGAUGAUCAGUCACACUGGAACUGAGACACGGUCCAGACUCCUACGGGAGGCAGCAGUGGGGAAUAUUGGACAAUGGGCGAAAGCCUGACCCAGCCAUGCCGCGUGUGUGAAGAAGGCCUUCGGAUUGUAAAGCACUUUAAGUUGGGAGGAAGGGCAGUAAGUUAAUACCUUGCUGUUUUGACGUUACCAACAGAAUAAGCACCGGCUAACUUCGUG